UCAUAUUCUCUCUAUCUUCUGCAGUGGUCGGGCAUUGAGUCUUACUCAACUUCACACCUUGUAACACAUGCAAGAACCCUUUCUUUGCUUGAUCCAUUUUGAACUUCUUCAAAACUUUGUCAAGGUAUGUGCUUUGUGAAAGUCCAAUUAAGCGUCUUGAUCUAUCUCUAUAGAUCUUAAUGCCUAAUAUGUAAGCAGCUUCACCGAGGUCUUCCAUUGAAAAACUCUUAUUCAAGUAUCCCUUUAUGCUAUCCAGAAAUUCUAUAUCAUUCCCAAUUAGUAAUAUGUCAUCUACAUAUAAUAUCAGAAAUGCUAUAGAGCUCCCACUCACUUUCUUGUAAAUACAGGCUUCUCCAAAAGUAUGUAUAAAACCAAAUGCUUUGAUCACACUAUCAAAGCGUUUAUUCCAACUCCGAGAGGCUUGCACCAGUCCAUAAAUGGAUCGCUGGAGCUUGCACACUUUGUUAGCUCCCUUUGGAUUGACAAAACCUUCUGGUUGCAUCAUAUACAACUCUUCUUCCAGAAAUCCAUUUAGGAAUGCAGUUUCGACAUCCAUCUGCCAAAUUUCAUAAUCAUAAAAUGCGGCAAUUGCUAACAUGAUUCGGACAGACUUAAGCAUCGCUACUGGUGAGAAGGUCUCAUCGUAGUCAAUCCCUUGAACUUGCCGAAAACCUUUUGCGACAAGUCGAGCUUUGUAGACAGUAAUAUUACCGUCAGCGUCAGUCUUCUUCUUGAAGAUCCAUUUAUUCUCAAUUGCUUGCCGAUCAUCGGGCAAGUCAACCAAAGUCCAUACUUUGUUCUCAUACAUGGAUCCCAUCUCAGAUUUCAUGGCCUCAAGCCAUUUUGCGGAAUCUGGGCUCACCAUCGCUUCUUCAUAGUUCGUAGGUCAUCAUGAUCUAGUAGCAUGACUUCCAGAACGGGAUUACCGUACCACUCUGGCGCGGAUCUUACUCUGGUUGAUCUACGAGGUUCAGUAGUAUCUUGUUCUGAAGUUUCAUGAUCAUCAUCAUUAGCUUCCUCACUAACUGGUGUAGGUGUCACAGAAACAGUUUUCUGUGAUGUACUACUUUCCAAUAAGGGAGCAGGUAUAGUUACCUCGUCAAGUUCUACUUUCCUCCCACUCACUUCUUUCGAGAGAAACUCCUUCUCCAGAAAGUUUCCGAAUUUAGCAACAAAAGUCUUGCCUUCGGAUUUGUGAUAGAAGGUGUAUCCAAUAGUCUCCUUUGGAUAUCCUAUGAAGACACAUUUCUCCGAUUUGGGUUCGAGCUUAUCAGGUUGAAGCUUUUUCACAUAAGCAUCGCAGCCCCAAACUUUCAAAAACGACAACUUUGGUUUCUUUCCAAACCAUAGUUCAUAAGGCGUUGUCUCAACGGAUUUUGAUGGUGCUCUAUUUAACGUGAAUGCGGCCGUCUCUAGAGCGUAUCCCCAAAAUGAUAGCGGUAAAUCAGUAAGAGACAUCAUAGAUCGCACCAUAUCUAGUAAAGUACGAUUACGACGUUCGGACACACCAUUACGCUGUGGUGUUCCGGGUGGCGUGAGUUGCGAAACUAUUCCACAAUUUUUCAAAUGUACACCAAACUCGUAACUCAAAUAUUCUCCUCCACGACCAGAUCGUAGAAACUUUAUUUUCUUGUUACGAUGAUUUUCAACUUCACUCUGAAAUUCUUUGAACUUUUCAAACGUUUAAGACUUAUGUUUCAUUAAGUAGAUAUACCCAUAUCUGCUUAAGUCAUCUGUGAAGGUGAGAAAAUAACGAUAUCCGCCACGAGCUUCAAUAUUCAUUGGACCACAUACAUCUGUAUGUAUGAUUUCCAACAAAUCUGUUGCUCUCUCCAUAGUACCGGAGAACGGUGUUUUUGUCAUCUUGCCCAUGAGGCACGGUUCGCAAGUACCAAGUGAUUCAUAAUCAAGUGGUUCCAAAAGUCCAUCAGUAUGGAGUUUCUUCAUGCACUUUACACCGAUAUGACCUAAACGGCAGUGCCACAAAUAUGUUGCACUAUCAUUAUCAACUCUGCAUCUUUUGGUUUCAACAUUAUGAAUAUGUGUGUUACUACUAUCGAGAUUCAAUAAGAAUAGACCACUCUUCAAGGGUGCAUGACCAUAAAAGAUAUUACUCAUAUAAAUAGAACAACCAUUAUUCUCUGAUUUAAAUGAAUAACUGUCUCGCAUCAAACAAGAUCCAGAUAUAAUGUUCAUGCUUAACGCUGGCACCAAAUAACAAUUAUUUAGGUCUAAUAUUAAUCUCGAAGGUAGAUGUAGAGGUAGCGUGCCGACUGCGAUCACAUCGACUUUGGAACCGUUUCCCACGCGCAUCAUCACCUCGUCCUUAGCCAAUCUUCACUUAAUCCGUAGUCCCUGUUUCGAGUUGCAAAUAUUAGCAACAGAACCAGUAUCAAAUACCCAGGUGCUACUGCGAGCAUUAGUAAGGUACACAUCAAUAACAUGUAUAUCACAUAUACCUUUGUUCACCUUGCCAUCCUUCUUAUCCGCCAAAUACUUGGGGCAGUUCCGCUUCCAGUGACCAGUCUGCUUGCAGUAGAAGCACUCAGUUUCAGGCUUAGGUCCAGGUUUGGGUUUCUUCUCUUGAGUAGCAACUUGCUUGCUGUUCUUUUUGAAGUUUCCUUUCUUCUUCCCUUUGCCCUUUUUCUUGAAACUAGUGGUCUUGUUGACCAUCAACACUUGAUGCUCCUUCUUAAUUUCUACCUCCGCAGCUUUCAGCAUCGCGAAGAGCUCGGGAAUAGUCUUAUUCAUCCCUUGCAUAUUAUAGUUCAUCACGAAGCUCUUGUAGCUUGGUGGCAGUGAUUGGAGAAUUCUGUCAAUGACGCAAUCAUCUGGAAGAUUAACUCCGAAUUGAAUCAAGUGAUUAUUAUACCCAGACAUUUUGAGUAUAUGCUCACUAACAGAACUGUUCUCCUCCGUCUUACAACUAUAGAACUUAUUGGAGACUUCAUAUCUCUCAAUCCGGGCAAUUGCUUGAAAUAUUAACUUCAACUCCUGGAACAUCUCAUAUGCUCUAUGACGUUUCAAAACGUCGUUGAAGUCCCAAUUCUAAGCCGUAAAGCAUGGCACACUGAACUAUUGAGUAGUCAUCAGCUUUGCUCUGCCAGACGUUCAUAACAUCCGGCGUUGCUCCAGCAGCAGGCCUGGCACCCAGUGGUGCUUCCAGGACGUAAUUCUUCUGUGCAGCAAUGAGGAUAAUCCUCAAGUUACGGACCCAGUCCGUGUAAUUGCUACCAUCAUCUUUCAACUUUGCUUUCUCAAGGAACGCAUUAAAAUUCAAUGGAACAACAGCACGAGCCAUCUAUCUACAAUCAAGCAUAAACAAGCAAGAUACUUAUCAGGUACUAAGUUUCAUGAUAAAUUUAAGUUCAGUUAAUUUACUUAAAGAACUCCCACUUAGAUAGACAUCCCUCUAAUCCUCUAAGUGAUUACGUGAUCCAAAUCAACUAAACCAUGUCCGAUCAUCACGUGAGAUGGAGUAGUUUCAUUGGUGAACAUCACUAUGUUGAUCAUAUCUACUAUAUGAUUCACGCUUGACCUUUCGGUCUCCGUGUUCCGAGGCCAUAUCUGUAUAUGGUUGGCUCGUCAAGUAUAACCUGAGUAUUCCGCGUGUGCAACUGUUUUGCACCCGUUGUAUUUGAACGUAGAGCCUAUCACACCCGAUCAUCACGUGGUGUCUCAGCGCGAAGAACUUUCGCAACGGUGCAUACUCAGGGAGAACACUUCUUGAUAAUUAGUGAGAGAUCAUCUUAUAAUGCUACCGUCAAUCAAAGCAAGAUAAGAUGCAUAAAAGAUAAACAUCACAUGCAAUCAAUAUAAGUGAUAUGAUAUGGCCAUCAUCAUCUUGUGCUUGUGAUCUCCAUCUCCGAAGCACCGUCGUGAUCACCAUCGUCACCGGCGUGACACCUUGAUCUCCAUCGUAGCAUCGUUGUCGUCUCGCCAAGCUUGUGCUUCCACGACUAUCGCUACCGCUUAGUGAUAAAGUAAAGCAUUACAUCGCGAUUGCAUUGCAUACAAUAAAGCGACAACCAUAUGGCUCCUGCCAGUUGCCGAUAACUCGGUUACAAAACAUGAUCAUCUCAUACAAUAAAAUUCAGCAUCAUGUCUUGACCAUAUCACAUCACAACAUGCCCUGCAAAAACAAGUUAGACGUCCUCUACUUUGUUGUUGCAAGUUUUACGUGGCUGCUACGGGCUUAAGCAAGAACUAAUCUUACCUACGCAUCAAAACCACAACGAUAGUUUGUCAAGUUGGUGUUGUUUUAACCUUUGCAAGGAUCGGGCGUAGUCACACUUGGUUCAACUAAAGUUGGAGAAACUGUCACCCGCAAGCCACCUCUGUGCAAAGCACGUCGGGAGAACCGGUCUCGCGUAAGCGUACGCAUAAUGUCGGUCUGGGCCGCUUCGUCCAACAAUACCGCCGAACCAAAGUAUGACAUGCUGGUAAGCAGUAUGACUUAUAUCGCCCACAACUCACUUGUGUUCUACUCGUGCAUAUAACAUCAACAUAUAAAACCUAGGCUCGGAUGCCACUGUUGGGGAACGUAGUAAUUUCAAAAAAUUUCCUACGCACAUGCAAGAUCAUGAUGAUGCAUAGCAAGGAGGGGAGAGUGUGAUCUACAUACCUUGUAGUUCGACAACGGAAGCGUUUGGUUGAUGUAGUCGUACGUCUCCAUGGCCCGACCGAUCAAGCACCGAAACUACGGCACCUCCGAGUUCUAGCACACGUUCAGCUCGAUGACGAUCCCCGGACUCCGAUCCGGCAAAGUGUCGGGGAAGAGUUCCGUCAGCACGACGGCGUGGUGACGAUCUUGAUGUACUACUGUCGCAGGGCUUCGCCUAAGCACCGCUACAAUAUUAUCGAGGACUAUGGUGGAAGGGGGCGCCGCACACGGCUAAGAAUAUGAUCACGUGGAUCAACUUGUGUGUCUCUGGGGUGCCCCUGCCUCCGUAUAUAAAGGACUAAAGGGGGGGUGCGGCCGGCCUAGGAGAGGCGCGCCAGGAGAGUCCUACUCCCUCUGGGAGUAGGAUUCCCCCCCCAAUCCUAGUUGGAAUAGGAUUCGCGGAGGGGGGAAAAGAGAGAGGGGGGCUGGCCCCCUCUCCUUGUCCUAUUCGGACCAAGGGAGGGGAGGGGCGCGUGGCCCAUCUUGGGCUGCCCCUUCUCUUUUCCACUAAGGCCCACUAUGGCCCAUAUAGCUCCCGGGGGGUUCCGGUAACCUCCCGGUACUCCGGUAAAAUCCCGAUUUCACCCGGAACACUUCCGAUAUCCAAACAUAGGCUUCCAAUAUAUAAAUCUUUAUGUCUCGACCAUUUCGAGACUCCUCGUCAUGUCCGUGAUCACAUCUGGGACUCCGAACAACCUUCGGUACAUCAAAAUGCAUAAACUCAUAAUAUAACUGUCAUCGUAACCUUAAGCGUGCGGACCCUACGGGUUCGAGAACAAUGUAGACAUGACCGAGACAUGUCUCCGGUCAAUAACCAAUAGCGGAACCUGGAUGCUCAUAUUGGCUCCUACAUAUUCUACGAAGAUCUUUAUCGGUCAGACCGCAUAACAACAUACGUUGUUCCCUUUGUCAUCGGUAUGUUACUUACCCGAGAUUCGAUCGUCGGUAUCUCAAUACCUAGUUCAAUCUCCUUACCGACAAGUCUCUUUACUCGUUCUGUAAUACAUCAUCCCGCAACUAACUCAUUAGUUGCAAUGCUUGCAAGGCUUAAGUGAUGUGCAUUACCGAGAGGGCCCAGAGAUACCUCUCCGACAAUCGGAGUGACAAAUCCUAAUCUCGAAAUAUGCCAACCCAACACGUACCUUUGGAGACACCUGUAGAGCUCCUUUAUAAUCACCCAGUUACGUUGUGACGUUUGGUAGCACACAAAGUGUUCCUCCAGCAAACGAGAGUUGCAUAAUCUCAUAGUCAUAGGAACAUGUAUAAGUCAUGAAGAAAGCAAUAGCAACAUACUAAACGAUCGGGUGCUAAGCUAAUGGAAUGAGUCAUGUCAAUCAGAUCAUUCACUUAAUGAUGUGAUCCCGUUAAUCAAAUAACAACUCAUUGUUCAUGGUUAGGAAACAUAACCAUCUUUGAUUAACGAGCUAGUCAAGUAGAGGCACACUAGUGACACUUUGUUUGCCUAUGUAUUCACACAUGUAUUAUGUUUCCGGUUAAUACAAUUCUAGCAUGAAUAAUAAACAUUUAUCAUGAUAUAAGGAAAUAAAUAAUAACUUUAUUAUUGCCUCUAGGGCAUAUUUCCUUCACCAUGUAGCCGCCGCCGCCGCCCGUCCACCCCUUUUGUCUUCGUCCAAGCACCAGCCCGUCGCCAGCGUCGCCGUCAUCUACCUCGACCACUUUGUCUACUCCGACCACCGUUGGUGACAUCGACCUCGCGCCGAUGGACGCCGCAAUCGUCGUUGAGUUCUUCUCUACUGGCCCCUUCGACUUCUCCAACAUGGCAUACAGCUCGUGCAGGUCCCUCAUCUACGCAUGCCCGGUGCUGGCAACACCGAUGCGUGCCUUCAUCCACGAUGUGUCCCCGGGCCUGGCAAGCCUGGUCGGCGCUUCGUCAACUUCGUCUUCAUCCGUCUACGCAUGCCCGGUGCUGGCAACACCGGUGCGUGCCUUCGUCCACGAUGUGUCCCCGGGCUUGGCAAACCCGCCGCCACGCGUCGUCAACCACAUCUUCUUCCCGGCACACCACUACUUCGAUACCAGUGCGCCCAUGCUAACUCGGCGCCCCCUUGCGCCUGCGGCUCCACGGCGACUUCCUCGACACCGGCCACCCCGACUCGACAUCAACCACGGAAUUCUUCACACGACUACCUGGACCACGGCUCCACCAGCCACGCUCUCGGCUACAUCGACAAACGGCACAAAGGGCUAGCGCCUGCUUGAGCAACCUCGUUGGUUUCCACUCCAGCCAUGACUCCGCGAUGCGUCCACCGUUACGACUGUGUGUGUGUGUGGGGGGGUGUCCGUCAGCUUGCCUUCGGAUUCUUCUCCAGUCUCACCGUCUGCGUUACUACCGUUGUGACUGCGGGGGGAUGUUGAGUAUAAUGUUUAUUAGGAAAGACGAGAUAGACUAGGAUUUGUUCUGGAUUGUCUUGUACUCCAAGUAGAUGAUUGUACUCCUAUAUAUAUGCCCACGAGGCUCAAGCAAUAGAUGGACUAUUCUAUCAAUCCCUCUCUCCCUUCUAACACAUAGCUUGUCUGGGUGCGAUCUUUAAAAUAUGUAUGUAUGUUCUAUAGAAGGUUCUAGCACCAAUCCGUCGGAGGUAGCCUUGCAUCGCAUCCCUCGCAACGGUUGAGGCGAGAACACCGGGCAAUAAGGGCUACAUUUCUCCCUUAAUGUUAUGUUCAUAUUCACAUUAUUCCUUUACAUUCAUGCAAUGGUGAACAUACAACUCCCUAGUGUACAUUUCAAUACACCAUACCACUAGUAUGUGAUAGGGAUUGGUUCUUCUUGAUAACAAAUCCAUCAUGAGUGAAUCUUCCAAGUUCAAGGAGUGGUCCUCGCUUCGCGAGUGUAUGGUCCUUCGGGUCCGUCCUCAUGUUAUGGUCCUCUCACUUGGUGAGGGUUGAAAAGGAGUGAGGUGAGACAUCGCCCCUCCUCAGCUUGCCGGCAAAAGCUCAGAGCCUAGUCCUCGAUCUUAUUUGGCUGCAUCAUUUCUUCAUGUUUUCUCAUGCCAUUCCAAGCAUGGAAGAUUCGAGUAUAGUAUUUACUUGAUCAAGCAUGGUUCAUAUUCACGGUAUUACUUGUCAUUUUAUUACAUGCUUUGUUGUGUACUUGCUGAGUCUUUGGACUCACCUCUUGUGGACUUUGUUUCAGGUACAUCGCCGUGAGGCUUUUCAAGUAUUAUGAAGGGCGUAGCUCCCAUGUGUGUUCACUCACAUUUCAUACCCCUUCCAUCCACCUAGCUGAUCAUGAUAAUUCUCAUACUUAGUUCAUGAUUCUUGGUAGCUAGGAUCUACUUGUGGUGUAUAAACUUUGCUUUGGUUUGUUUCCAUGAUCACUAUGUUUACCUGUCAAAGGUGGGUUGGAGUUGACUAGUCCCCACCUUGCACCAUGGUGUGUUGGAACGUAUGUUUUCUUUGCUAUGUGUAGCAUAACGGUUGGUGGCUUCACCACUUUGCUCUACAUGGGUUGUAGGAGCUUGUUGGAUGCUUCUGCUUGUCAUAUUAUGAAUAUAUGCUCUGUUUAUUCAACUGCCUGUCGUGGAUGUCCGAUGGUACAAAGGAGGUGCUACUGGAUUUUUCCACGAGCAUUGUGUUUUGGUGGUAACAUUCCUUCUUAGACAAGAGGGAUGAACACUUGAGUAGGAUCAAGCAUGGAGAUGAAUGCGCGUGCGAAGGGGUCUAGAAUGGCGUUACUAGUGCAUAUUUGAGCACUUUAAAGCUCCGUGAUGAUCGACAAAGACAUGGAUGAAAUAUACAAGAUGCCCCUUCACAAAUUUCGUCCAUAACUUAUUUUAGGUGCCGUGUCACCUUAUUUUUGGGCCAGACUCAUGUAAUUUCGAAAUACUAAAGUAUAGGCUGUUUUUAGAGUCCAUAUGUGUGGGAAAAAACAGAGUUAGGGUUGGUUUCGGACCCCUCCUCCAAGGGGUCACGAAAUUCCCCUCUCUUGCUUCAUAUAUACAGCUCUUAGGGCAUCUUUAGACUUUGGAUUUUGUUUAGAUUAAAAGUUUGCCAUAGCUGCAACUUCGCGUACUUCGUUUGUGUUCAACGACCAGACCAAGACGUCACAUAAUCCCACUUGAUCAAUAAAGCUUUCCUCUUU
rnacentral:lncRNA from 1 species